GCUCCCAAAUUUCGUACUCCACCCUUUCUCCAUGGAAGAUCAUCAACCAAAUUUCAAAGGAGCAUAACUACUUCGUUUCUCAACGAAAUUGGACGAUUCUUAGGGCCACGGAACGAGAAGAAGGAGAGCUACUGAUCUAGCCCUAUUGUUCAAGGUGUUCUUGAGUUGAAUUGAAGCAAAGUUGAUGGUGAAUUUGAGCUUGAAGUGUUUGGCCAUGAUCAACAAUCCAAGGUGUUCUUGAGUUGAAUUGAAGCAAAGUUGAUGGUGAAUUUGAGCUUGAAGUGUUUGGCCAUGAUCAACAAUCCAAGACUCGAAGAAGCGACUAUCGAUAAGGCUCGAGGCGAACGGAUCGAAAUAUCGUCAAGCUUAUUUGAAGAAUUUGGAUAGCAAGUGGUGAGUACACUUUAAAUUACUCGCUAAUAUUCAUAA